UUUAAUUCUGAAGUGAACUAAUCCUUUAAUAGCUUCAAUGUAGUUAGCCAUUAGCUACUUUUAAGAGUAGCUUGACUGUAGUUUAAGUUAACUUGUAGCUUAAAAGUAGCUUUCCAAUACUUUUCAGUUGUUUCAGUAAUAAACAGCUCUUAUUUUCUCACUGUCAAGACUGUUAUUUAUGUCUUUCCUUAUACAUUGUGUUUCUAAAGAGUCUGAGUAAACAGGUGCCAGUGCUUGAUGCUAAUCUGUCUAAUUUAUAACCCUAUUAUGCAUCCUCUCUAGAAGAUAUAGUGUUCAGUUUAAUGCUCACAUAUCACCUUCCCAAAAGGUAAAUACCUGUUUCAUGUUUUAGAUCAAUUACCGGGCAACAAGGGGAAGACACGGAAGAAAGGAGGCAUCCUGGAGUCUCUUUCCCCCCCGAGUUUAAUGAUUUGCCUGUAGCCUGGACAUUUGGCAUGUGUGGAAUGUUUGUCUCCACAUCUAGACCCAUUGUGUCGGAGGAAGAGAAAACUAGAGUAAAAGAUCUACGUGCCUAUCUCAGGAUGGGUGUUUGUCCAUUUUGAAGCUGAUCAAUGAAUGAAAGAAGAUUAUUGUUUCAAAGCAUCCAGAAGGUCCUGCUUGAAGCCAAAGCAGCAGCUGGUUUCACUUUACCUGCUUUAUCGAUGUACAGAACCCCAUCGUAAUAGGUCCGUUCCUGUGGUUUUAGUGGUGGAGUACAGAGGGAUCGGAUAGGGCCCUUCUCACAGACUGACAUGGGGACUGGAACAGCUAAACCUGGAGCUGGAAUCUGCACUGAAGGGGUUUUGGAGAUGCCAAGCUGUUCUCCUAAUGAGAUGCAUACCAGCACUGAAGCCUGUGAGACAGAUUGGGCCUCCUGCUAGCGUGGUCCACCACGGUCAGAGACCUUCCACUGCCCUGCAGGCAAUACAGCCACAGCUACACUCUCUUCCCAUCAUGCUCUAUUGCUGCUUACCUUGUGCUCCUCCCACCUCUGCAUGCUUGACAUCCUUACAGAGUGCCUGAUAAAUGGAAUCUGACACAGGGGGGUCCGUGUGUGCCGCAAAUGCCCAGAGUUUGACUAGGAGCUGAACAAAGAGAGCUGUCAACCAGUCAAGGUCCCACUUCAUAAUUAACUUCUCCUGGGGCACACUGACCAUGUGGCCACACAGACCACAGUGAAUAUGAACUUCCCUCGUUUGGAAUCCCAUUCUACCUCAGAGUAAAAACACACAAAAAAGGCUCCCCUCAGGUGUGCCACAGGUGACUACCCUGGCUCCCAUGCGGAACCUGAUGAAUAAGCAACAACGCUGUGGAUUAUGCUGUGAGGUGAUGUCGUUCCCUUUACAUUAGUGAGCUUGAAUCAACCAUUUUUGCUUGGCUCAUCCAAUCAGACUGGUUGGUUUUGAGCCAGGUCUAUAAUUAUUAAGGAUUAACACACUACACAUCUAGUAUUAAAGGGAUAUUUCAUCUAAAAAGGAAAAUUGUCAUUAUUUACUCACCCUUAUGCCAUUCCAAACCUCUUUCGUAUUCUGUGGAACACACACACAAAAAAGACAUUUUGAAAAAUUAUUUAGCAUUUUUUUUUAUCACAAUGACAGUGACAAUUCUACAGAACUGUCUUCAGAAUUACAUCAAAGUAGUACAUAAAAAUAAGUAACAACCAAUUAAAGUUUUUGUGGAUUUAUUUAUUUUAUUUUAUUUUUACAUGGAAAUGAUAUAAGACCUCAUCUUACUGGCUGUUGCCAUAAUAGGCCAUAACAUGAAUUGACUGCUCGUAAAUAUGAAUAUUUGAAUAUGAACCCGCACACAGGGAAAUGACCCUGUGAAAUAGCAGAGGUAAAAAUUCCCUCCUCAGAAUUUAUGACUGCUCUGGGUAUAGCCAAUACUUUUAUUGUGGUCUCUUGCCAGAUAUGGUCAAUUGUACAUGAAUGCCAGGAGCAAUGGGGACUAUGGGGUUGCA